AUUGAACGCUGGCGGCAGGCUUAACACAUGCAAGUCGAGCGGGGUGAUGGUGCUUGCACUAUCACUUAGCGGCGGACGGGUGAGUAAUGCUUAGGAAGCUGCCUAUUAGUGGGGGACAACAUCUCGAAAGGGAUGCUAAUACCGCAUACGUCCUACGGGAGAAAGCAGGGGAUCACUUGUGACCUUGCGCUAAUAGAUGAGCCUAAGGCGGAUUAGCUAGUUGGGGGGGUAAAGACCUACCAAGGCGACGAUCUGUAGCGGGUCUGAGAGGAUGAUCCGGCACACUGGGACUGAGACACGGCCCAGACUCCUACGGGAGGCAGCAGUGGGGAAUAUUGGACAAUGGGGGGAACCCUGAUCCAGCCAUGCCGCGUGUGUGAAGAAGGCCUUAUGGUUGUAAAGCACUUUAAGCGAGGAGGAGGCUCUUUUGGUUAAUACCCAAGAUGAGUGGACGUUACUCGCAGAAUAAGCACCGGCUAACUCUGUGCCAGCCGCCGCGGUAA
rnacentral:rRNA from 1 species